rnacentral:rRNA from 1 species
UACGAAGGGGGCUAGCGUUGCUCGGAAUCACUGGGCGUAAAGGGCGCGUAGGCGGAUCUUUAAGUCAGGGGUGAAAGCCUGAGGCUCAACCUCAGAAUUGCCUUUGAUACUGAAGAUCUUGAGACCGGAAGGGGUUAGUGGAACUGCGAGUGUAGAGGUGAAAUUCGUAGAUAUUCGCAAGAACACCAGUGGCGAAGGCGGCUAACUGGUCCGGUUCUGACGCUGAGGAGCGAAAGCCAGGGGAGCAAACGGG